AGUGCAUAUUUCUCUUAUAAUUCGUGAUUCAUUCACUUGGUUGAUUAGAAUAUGCAAUCUUCAUUUUACUGCUACAAUAUUUAAGUACCGUUAGUUUUUACUUAUCUAACAAGUGUGUGUUAAUUGGUACAAAACGUACUCGUAUGCAAACUUCUAAUCAAGCAUGCCAAAAUUCUGUAGCAAAUGGACUGAAUUCUAGUAGUACUGGUGUCAUCACGAAAUGAACUACUACUGGGAUUAGAGUUAGUGCUCAUCUUCAACAACAAAGUGCUAAUGAUCAGCCAGUGGUAAACACAAAAAAAGAAAAGAAUGAGACUCAGGAGCAAAGGAAAAAUGGGCAAGUAACGUGUCAAUGAUGAUCAAAUGAUAAAGAUGCGAGCAGAUACCACUCAACCUGAUGGAACUCGAACAAUGACAGAUGAGGAAAUAUGUGCAAAAGUUCUCAAAGUCAAAUCAGGCUACAUUAAGGGUUGUGGUUUUGGCCCUAGACCAUCACUAUUAAGGUUCUCUCCUUCUUCGAUGAGUGAAAUGUCUGAAAAGAAUAAAGAGUUGCAAGAACGGCUUCAAGAAACCCAACAACUUGUAGGAACUCAACAAUAAAAUAUCGAUGCGCGAGGUAAUCCAAAGAUUGGAGGAGCAAGCCAAAAAGUUUAAGGAGUUUAUGGCUAAUUUUUCCAGGCAACAUCCAUCAGCUUAGUAUUCUUAGUGAACUUAAACUUGGAGAAAUAUUUCUUUGAUCGUGUUGUAUUUGUUAUUGCUUUAGACUAGCAUUGUUACUUAUGGUAGAAACUUGUUUGCUUUAUUUAUUUUAAUUGUUUUGAUGUA